UUGAUUUGUAUGUUGUAUACUCAGAGUUCCUGCUAAUAUGCCACUGUACGAUAUAUUAAACGAGUUUCAGAAGGGCAGCAGUCAUAUGGCAGCUGUGGUGAAGACUAAAGGGAAAAGCAAGCUUCCUACAAUUGAUGGGGAGAAGACUUUUCUGUGGCUGCCUAGUAAUAAUUUUACAGAACAUGUCUAUUUCUAUAUGCAUCAAUGGAUUCUGACCAGUUAAGCUCUGGAAUUUCAGAUUUUGAUACUCACUUUCAAGGCCUCAUAGUUCAGAAAAGUGAUGAUGACGACUCUGAGAAUGAGUCGGCACUUGAAAUUCAGCCAUACUUGAUGGAAGAAAAAUUGUCGAAGCACUUGAUAAUCACUUGACUGCUAUCCAAAGGGACCAUGAACUCAGGUCCCAAAUAGAAGAAAGGAAAAUAAGAAGUGAUGCGGCUUAUGAAGGGGCCAAAAGAAAAGAGAAAGCUCUCCUGGAAGAAAAUGUAUCUUGUAAUUUUUUGUUUUUCAUUUUUGAA